rnacentral:rRNA from 1 species
CCUACGGGUGGCAGCAGUGAGGAAUAUUGGUCAAUGGACGAGAGUCUGAACCAGCCAAGCAGCGUGAAGGAUGACUGCCCUAUGGGUUGUAAACUUCUUUUAUAUGGGAAUAAAAUGUUCUACGUGUGUGAUUUUGUAUGUACCAUAUGAAUAAGGAUCGGCUAACUCCGUGCCAGCAGCCGCGGUAAUACGGAGGAUCCGAGCGUUAUCCGGAUUUAUUGGGUUUAAAGGGAGCGUAGGUGGAUUGUUAAGUCAGUUGUGAAAGUCUGCGGCUCAACCGUAAAAUUGCAGUUGAAACUGGCAGUCUUGAGUACAGUAGAGGUGGGCGGAAUUCGUGGUGUAGCGGUGAAAUGCUUAGAUAUCACGAAGAACUCCGAUUGCGAAGGCAGCUCACUGGACUGCAACUGACGCUGAGGCUCGAAAGUGUGGGUAGCAAACAGGAUUAGAUACUCCUGUAGUC